rnacentral:rRNA from 1 species
UACGUAGGGGGCAAGCGUUGUCCGGAUUUAUUGGGCGUAAAGAGCGUGUAGGCGGCCAUGCAGGUCCGUUGUGAAAACUCGAGGCUCAACCUCGAGACGCCGGUGGAAACCGUAUGGCUAGAGUCCGGAAGAGGCGAGUGGAAUUCCUGGUGUAGCGGUGAAAUUCGUAGAUAUCGGGAGGAACACCGGUGGCGAAGGCGGCGACCUGGGUAGAUACUGACGCUGAGGUGCGAAAGCGUGGGGAGCAAACAGG